GAUGAACGCUGACAGAAUGCUUAACACAUGCAAGUCUUUGGCGAAUCUGUGCUUGCACAGGCUAGCCAAGGCGGACGGGUGAGUAACGCGUGAAGAACUUGCCCUGCAGACAGGGAUAACAGACGGAAACGACUGAUAACACCUGAUACAGUUGCCGGCACGCAUGUGCCUGGCAAUGAAAAGAGAUGCUGCAGGAGAGCUUUGCGUCCUAUUAGCUUGCUGGUGAGGUGACGGCUCACCAAGGCGAUGAUAGGUAGCCGGCCUGAGAGGGUGAACGGCCACAAGGGGACUGAGAUACGGCCCUUACUCCUACGGGAGGCAGCAGUGGGGAAUAUUGGACAAUGGGGGCAACCCUGAUCCAGCAAUUCUGUGUGCACGAAGAAGGUUUUCGGAUUGUAAAGUGCUUUCAGCAGGGAAGAAGAAAGUGACGGUACCUGCGGAAGAAGCGACGGCUAAAUACGUG
rnacentral:rRNA from 1 species